AUUGAACGCUGGCGGCAUGCCUUACACAUGCAAGUCGAACGGCAGCACGGGAGCAAUCCUGGUGGCGAGUGGCGAACGGGUGAGUAAUACAUCGGAACGUGCCCAAUCGUGGGGGAUAACGCAGCGAAAGCUGUGCUAAUACCGCAUACGAUCUACGGAUGAAAGCAGGGGAUCGCAAGACCUUGCGCGAAUGGAGCGGCCGAUGGCAGAUUAGGUAGUUGGUGAGGUAAAGGCUCACCAAGCCGUCGAUCUGUAGCUGGUCUGAGAGGACGACCAGCCACACUGGGACUGAGACACGGCCCAGACUCCUACGGAAGGCAGCAGUGGGGAAUUUUGGACAAUGGGCGAAAGCCUGAUCCAGCCAUGCCGCGUGCAGGAUGAAGGCCUUCGGGUUGUAAACUGCUUUUGUACGGAACGAAACGGCCUUUUCUAAUAAAGAGGGCUAAUGACGGUACCGUAAGAAUAAGCACCGGCUAACUACGUGCCAGCAGCCGCGGUAAUACGUAGGGUGCAAGCGUUAAUCGGAAUUACUGGGCGUAAAGCGUGCGCAGGCGGUUAUGUAAGACAGUUGUGAAAUCCCCGGGCUCAACCUGGGAACUGCAUCUGUGACUGCAUAGCUAGAGUACGGUAGAGGGGGAUGGAAUUCCGCGUGUAGCAGUGAAAUGCGUAGAUAUGCGGAGGAACACCGAUGGCGAAGGCAAUCCCCUGGACCUGUACUGACGCUCAUGCACGAAAGCGUGGGGAGCAAACAGG
rnacentral:rRNA from 1 species